AUUGGGCAUAAAGGGCAUCUAGGCGGCCAGACAAGUCUGGGGUGAAAACUUGCGGCUCAACCGCAAGCCUGCCCUGGAAACUGUUUGGCUAGAGUGCUGGAGAGGUGGACGGAACUGCACGAGUAGAGGUGAAAUUCGUAGAUAUGUGCAGGAAUGCCGAUGAUGAAGAUAGUUCACUGGACGGUAACUGACGCUGAAGUGCGAAAGCCGGGGGAGCGAACAGGAUUAGAUACCCUGGUAGUCCCGGCUGUAAACGAUGAUUACUGGGUGUGGGCAGGAAGACUGUCUGUGCCGAAGCAAAUGCGAUAAGUAAUCCGCCUGGGGAGUACGGCCGCAAGGCUGAAACUCAAAGGAAUUGACGGGGACCCGCACAAGCGGUGGAGCAUGUGGUUUAAUUCGACGCAACGCGAAGAACCUUACCUGGUCUUGACAUGUACGGAACCCUCCAGAGACGGAGGGGUGCCUUCGGGAGCCGUAACACAGGUGCUGCAUGGCUGUCGUCAGCUCGUGUCGUGAGAAG
rnacentral:rRNA from 1 species